CAAUAGCGUAUAUUAAAGUUGUUGCGGUAAAAAAGCUCGUAGUUGGACUUCUGUUGAGAGAUACCGGUACAUGCAACGCAUGCGUAUUUGGUAAGUCUCGGCAUCCUCUCGAAAAACUUCUUUGCGCUUGAUUGCGUGAAAAGAGUUUCGGGACUUUUACUUUGAGGAAAUUAGAGUGUUCACGGCAGGCCAUCGCCAGGAUACAUUAGCAUGGAAUAAUACUAUAGGAUCUUGAUCCUAUUUUGUUGGUUUCUAGGAUUAAGAUAAUGAUUAAUAGGGACAAUUGGGGGCAUUCGUAUCAACACGUCAGAGGUGAAAUUCUUGGAUUGUGUUGCGACGAACUACUGCGAAAGCAUUUGCCAAGGAUGUUUUCAUUGA
rnacentral:rRNA from 1 species